UACGGAGGGGACUAGCGUUGUUCGGAAUUACUGGGCGUAAAGCGCACGUAGGCGGAUUUGUAAGUCAGGGGUGAAAUCCCGGGGCUCAACCUCGGAACUGCCUUUGAUACUGCAAAUCUCGAGUCCGGAAGAGGUGAGUGGAAUUCCGAGUGUAGAGGUGAAAUUCGUAGAUAUUCGGAAGAACACCAGUGGCGAAGGCGGCUCACUGGACUGGUAUUGACGCUGAGGUGCGAAAGCGUGGGGAGCAAACAGGG
rnacentral:rRNA from 1 species